rnacentral:rRNA from 1 species
UACAGAGGUCCCGAGCGUUGUUCGGAUUCAUUGGGCGUAAAGGGUGCGUAGGCGGCUCGCCAAGUGCUUUGUGAAAUCCCACAGCUCAACUGUGGAACAGCAGGGCAAACUGGCGAGCUUGAGGCAGGUAGGGGCCGGAAGAACAGUUGGUGGAGCGGUGAAAUGCGUAGAUAUCAACUGGAAUGCCGAUGGGGAAGCCGUCCGGCUGGGCCUGUCCUGACGCUGAGGCACGAAAGCGUGGGGAGCAAACAGG